UACGUAGGGUGCAAGCGUUGUCCGGAAUUAUUGGGCGUAAAGGGCUCGUAGGCGGUCCAUCGCGUCGGGAGUGAAAAGCUGGGGCUUAACCCCAGUCCUGCUUCCGAUACGGGUGGACUAGAGGUAGGUAGGGGAGAACGGAAUUCCUGGUGUAGCGGUGAAAUGCGCAGAUAUCAGGAGGAACACCGGUGGCGAAGGCGGCAUCCUGGACCGGUAUUGACGCUGAGGCGCGAAAGCUAGGGUAGCAAACGGG
rnacentral:rRNA from 1 species